AUGAGCGACGCCUCCGCCGCCGGCCAGGGCGCUCUGGAUGCCGCCUCGUCCGGCGACACUUCUUCGCCGGCGCCCUUAACCAUCCACAACGUGGACAUCCUCACCCACGUCCCCGCCAAGCUAGACUUCGACGCCGACAACUACGCCGAGUGGAGGGACGGCAUGCUCUCCGCGCUCGCCGAGUUCGGCGCCGUCGACCACGUCGGGGAGCAGGGACACUCCCUCCACGAGGGAGACGAGGAGUGGGCGCGCGCCGACGUCACCAUCGUCCUGUGGAUCUACACCACCAUCUCCGACGAGCUGCUGGACGAGGUGAUGGCCGCCCACAGCACCGCCGGCGAGGUAUGGGCCCAGCUGCGCGGCUUCUUCGGGGACGAGGGCGCGUUUGACCCGGCCCUGGAGCUCCGCGCCGCCGCGCAGGGGGACAUGUCCGUGAACGCUACAGCUGGCGCCUCAAGGCGCUGGCCCGCGCCGUCGCGGACGCGGGCGGUGAGCCUGUCUCCGACACCGCGCUGA
rnacentral:rRNA from 1 species